UAUUGCUCUACACAAGUGUAAUUAUGAUUUGAAAUGUUGUCAGAGGAGCAAAAGGGUUUGGGUGUGGUCAUAUGGCAUCCUAUGAGCUUCAGGUUCAGGGCUCGGCGAUUACAGGGAACCAAUAUGCCAUGGCUGUGGAUUUGACCUGUCAGCUCUCAGGUAUUUGCAGGGGACCCCUGGGAUGGAGAGAGAUGCCCUUUGCCGUCUGUUUUACUGAUGUAUGGUUCCCUCUGCCAUCCCUUCGAGAGUCAAUGCAAAUCCCCACAUUGACUCCAGGAAGUGAUGGUUCAGACCCAGAACCAGUCUCAAAAUUUGGAUACAUCGUAUAGAUCAUAUCUUCUGAAUACAGAUUUUAGAGAGGUAACAAGCAACUAUCAUUAUCACAUUGGAUUAUGAAGACCAGUUACACCCACUUGUAACUUGUAUCCCUCUGGAGGCAGCUAGGACUUCAGCGCUUUCUAAUGCACAUUUUUACUCAUUUCAUACUCAUUGACCUAUUUUUCCCCUUCUGCCUGUAACCCUUGGUACUAGUGAGCAACCGGUAGCAAAAGAGCCCUUCUGAGCUGGCUCUCAGCCUGCGGAUAUACCUAAGGAUUUAAAUGGGAUGCUGAAUUUCAUCUAAAAACUGAAUCCUUAAAAGACACAGAAUAUCCAGAAGAUUGGAAAUAAAUGCAACGUCCAGCACCAGCCAUUCAGCAUGCAAGUCGGACGGACGGCUGUUGCAGGAGUUCUCUCUCUCUCUCUCCCGGGACUAAACUAAAAGGAAAAACCCUGGUAUCUGUGCAAGCCUGCAUAUUAUUCUGCCUCCACUUUAGCAGAGGCUGGUGACAUCUGAAGUAGUAAAUACAACUGACAGCUAAAAGUAUACUCAGGAGACUCUAAAUAUCACAUUGUGUUUCAUUUGAAUCCAGGUAGGCAGUGCUCUCUGCCAGCUCUAUACGGACUCUAUGAUUACUUUCAGAUGCCAAAGUCUGCCUUCCUUUCUAUCGGUCUGUCUGUCAUCUAGCUAGCUAGCUAGCUAUUUCAAAAAGUUUUAAAAAGCCAGAAGUCUAAUCUACCAUGAUGAAUGCUUUUGAGCCAAACCCUUUGUGGGGCCACAUAUCUUUUUUUGCUUGUAAUAUUUGUAUAAAGGCAAAUCAAAAGUCUGUUGGUCUGUCUGUCGCGUUACAGACUUGUCUUCGUUAACACUCGUCAGACAGGUUGUGACCUCAGUAACCCGGUGAGAUCCUGGACUCGCUCCAUCAAAGCAAUUUGAAGGUUUUACAGACGCGCAGCAGGGCGAGCAGAAAUAACUCUCUUCGUGCACUUCGCCGUCAACCGAAUGUCUCUGAUUUUUCCCAGCGUAGCUCAAAGCUCCGCGUGUGCCGUUUUGUGCAUGAUUUUAUAUCGGGGGGAUUUUAUAUAAGCUGUUGUAGGCCGUCUGUACUCGCUGCACCCAUUCACCGAGGCCCUGUGAAACCUCUUUGUAACUUCACCAGGCGGCUAUGAAACCAACUUUUUUCAUUGCUGUCACUCUGUGUCCCUUUUUACACCCGGCAAGAGCGUCAGGGCUUCCCCUACCUCCUCCCUUGACUCUCCAGAUAGCUGUAAGCAAGCCCCGUGGGGGGUUUCUAGCCCAAAUCCUACAAUGAAAGUAUAAUACAUACUUUUUGUUAACUCUCCUUUCCAGGGGCAGCUGUCCUUGCUGUCACCAGGGAGACUGGCUUCUGCUGCUGUAGAUAUACAGCACUGGCCAGGGAAAGGAAACGGCAUGCUUGGUUUUGCAUGUAUCGUGUGAAAACAUCUUUAAGUGCAAAGGGUCUCGGAGCCUCUGCUCUUAUCACAUUAAGACCUACGUAAAUCCACUUGUUUAACUUUCACUGUCAGAUCAAUGUGGACUUUAAAGUCUUCCCUGAGUCAAAGACCCUUCCUUCUUCAAACACUGACUUCUAAGUUCCUACUUGAGCUGAUCCAGAUCCACAGGGGGUUGAAGGAUCCUUGGAGCAUUACUGGUAUUUUAAAUCCGCCUAAUUUGCCUUUUUAAGAAAGCAGCGUUCCUUUCUCAGCUGCAGCUAAACUCCAUUCAAAGCUUCAGCGACAGCAUUUCCAGUAGAUAAGAAAGGACGGCAAAAGGACAGGAAGAAAGAAAGCAUGUCUAACAAAUAUACACAUGGAUAACACUAGACAGCCAGGAGGAUAUUUUAAAAAGCAUAUUGAGCUCUUUUAAAUCUGAUUUCAGAUAAGAAGCUGAAAAUUGUUUAAAUAAAAAUCCAGAUGUCA